rnacentral:misc_RNA from 1 species
GAUGAAGAACGUAGCGAAAUGCGAUAAGUAAUGUGAAUUGCAGAAUUCAGUGAAUCAUCGAAUCUUUGAACGCACAUUGCGCCCAUUAGUAUUCUAGUGGGCAUGCCUGUUCGAGCGUCAUUAAGUCCACUUAAGCCUAGCUUAGUGUUAGGAGACUGCUCCAGUGGUGCUACCCUGUAGCUACCCUGCAGCUCCUUAAAGACAGCGGCGGAGUCGUGUUAUCCUCUGAGCUUAGUAAAUCAUUCUAGCUUUCGAGAGUAUCACUUCACCUGCCGUUAAACCACCUAAUUUUUAUGGUUGACCUCGGAUCAGGUAGGAAUACCCGCUGAACUUAAGCAUAUCAAUAAGCGGAGGA